GUGCUCGCUUCGGCAGCACAGACGCAAAAGUUGGAAUGAUACAGAGAAGAUUAGCAUGGCCUCUGAACAAGGAUGACAUGCAAAUUCAUGAAGCAUUACAUAUAAAG
rnacentral:snRNA from 1 species